GAUGAGUUGCGAACGGGUGAGUAACGCGUAGGUAACCUGCCUGGUAGCGGGGGAUAACUAUUGGAAACGAUAGCUAAUACCGCAUAAUAUUGAUUAUUGCAUGAUAGUCAAUUAAAAGGUGCAACUGCACCACUACCAGAUGGACCUGCGUUGUAUUAGCUAGUUGGUGGGGUAACGGCUCACCAAGGCGACGAUACAUAGCCGACCUGAGAGGGUGAUCGGCCACACUGGGACUGAGACACGGCCCAGACUCCUACGGGAGGCAGCAGUAGGGAAUCUUCGGCAAUGGACGGAAGUCUGACCGAGCAACGCCGCGUGAGUGAAGAAGGUUUUCGGAUCGUAAAGCUCUGUUGUAAGAGAAGAACGAGUGUGGGAGUGGAAAGUUCACACUGUGACGGUAUCUUACCAGAAAGGGACGGCUAACUACGUGCCAGCAGCCGCGGUAAUACGUAGGUCCCGAGCGUUGUCCGGAUUUAUUGGGCGUAAAGCGAGCGCAGGCGGUUAGAUAAGUCUGAAGUUAAAGGCUGUGGCUUAACCAUAGUACGCUUUGGAAACUGUUUAACUUGAGUGCAAGAGGGGAGAGUGGAAUUCCAUGUGUAGCGGUGAAAUGCGUAGAUAUAUGGAGGAACACCGGUGGCGAAAGCGGCUCUCUGGCU
rnacentral:rRNA from 1 species